AAUUUGAAUUAAUAGUGUCUAUCACCAAUGGGCUCCUAUGCUUUAGCUGGUUUCCAAAUGGAAAACAGGAGUAGUUGUCUGUCUCUUAAGUCCUGUGGUGCCUAUUAAAUUAUGACAAGACAAACCUCAGAGGUUUUAAGUCACUUUUCAUGUUCUGCUAUUGAAGAUAGUCCAGCAUGAAUUAGUUCAAGGGCUCUAUAAGAUAGAGUCAAGAGGUCACUUAUGAAGCAAGUAAGAUGCUCUCUCCCAACCCCAGUAUACUGAGCACAUCCUGUUUCUUGAACUCCAUUAGGUAAACGAAGCUCGGGAAAAGGCAACUCCUCUGAUCAUGAAGGGUGUUGGGGUGAAGAGAGCUGGACAUUUAACCAGUGUGGGACCAGUGGGAAUAAGAAGUUCAAGAAAACAAAACUAAAAGAAGACUCUUUCAUUGGCUCAGCAAAGCUGGAUGAAGAAUUUGAAAAGAAAUUCAACAGCCUUCCUCAAUAUAGUCCUGUUACUUUUGACCGGAAAUGUGUACCUGUCCCAAGAAAAAAGAAGAAGACUGGAAAUGUGUCCUCAGAACUGACUAAAACCAGCAAAGGUCCUUUCCAGUCUCAGAAAAAGAACUUAUUCCACAAAAUUGUCAGCAAAUAUAAGCACAAAAAGGAGAAGCCUAAUGUUCCAGAAAAAGGAAAUGGGGAUAAAUGGUCAAACAAGCAACUAUUCUUGGAUGCCAUUCACCCUACAGAAGCCAUAUUUUCAGAAGAUAAAAAUACCACCGAGCCUGCUUAUAAGGUUAAAAAUGCCCUAUCCAUUCCCAACACUCCAGAACCAACAAUGCAAGAACCUUUGGUGGGCAGCCAAAAGAGAAAAGCAAGGAAAACCAAGAUCACACACCUUGUCAGGACAGCAGAUGGCCGGGUAUCACCAGCAGGAGAUGACAAACCAAAGGAGCAACUGCAGAGGAGUCUCCCUAAAGCGGCCGAGACAGACUGCAGUGACGAAUGUGCACACACCACUGAGGUAGAGGAAAUGCGAAGCAGCACUCCAGAAAUGCCUGCUGUAUCUGCAUUCUUUAGCCUUGCUGCACUGGCCGAAGUGGCAGCCAUGGAAAAUGUGCACAGAGGUCAGAGGUCAACUCCACUCACCCAUGAUGGACAGCCAAAAGAAAUGCCACAGGCUCCCGUACUUAUUUCUUGUGCUGACCAGUGA
rnacentral:lncRNA from 1 species